GCGGCCCCGCCCACGUCAUGGCGCCUGAGGAGAACGCGGGUACCAAACUCUUGCUGCAGAGUUUCGAGCGCCGCUUCCUAGCGGCGCGCACACUGCGCUCCUUCCCCUGGCAGGUGGGCGGCGGGGCGAGCGGAGAGGCCUGCGGGGCUUGCGGAAGUCCAGGGGCAGACGGGAUGGGUCUCCCUGCUGAAACCCCCGGCGCUCCUGCCACCCCUCGGAAGGCUCGGUCACACUCUCCGAGCACAGCCAUCAUCUCCCACGGUACCACAGGCCUGGUCACAUGGGACGCUGCCCGCUACCUUGCAGAAUGGGCCAUCAAGAACCUGGCAGCCUUCACUAACAGGACUGUCCUAGAGCUUGGCAGUGGCGCCGGCCUUACAGGCCUGUCCAUCUGCAAGAUGUGCCACCCCCGGACAUACAUCUUCAGCGACUGUCACAGCCGGGUCCUCGAGCAGCUCCGAGGGAAUGUCCUUCUCAAUGGCCUCUCAUUAGAGGCAGACAUCACUGCCAACUUAGAUAGCCCCAGGGUGACAGUGGCCCAGCUGGACUGGGAUGUAGCGACGGUCCAUCAGCUCUCUGCCUUCCAGCCAGAUGUUGUCAUUACAGCAGACGUGCUGUAUUGCCCAGAAGCCAUCGUGUCCCUGGUCGGGGUCCUGCGGAGGCUGGCUGCCUGCUGGGAGCACCAGCGGGCUCCUGAGGUCUACAUGGCCUUUACCGUCCGCAACCCAGAGACGUGCCAGGUGUUCACCACCGAGCUAGGCUGGGCUGGGAUCAGAUGGGAAGCGGAAGCUCAUCAUGACCAGAAACUGUUUCCCUAUGGAGAGCACUUGGAGAUGGCAAUGCUGAACCUCACACUGUAGGACUCAUACACGACUCCAACGGGAUUGUUAGAAUCAAAUCACUCUCGUGGGAAGAAUUUUUAUAUGGGAAAGCGGAUAAAACUUUCAUUGGACUGGAAUGUUUGGAGAAUGUUAAAUUCCAAAUCAGGAACCACAAUCUGCCCUCUAAUAAGACAUCGGCUAUCUAAGCAUGUGGGUGCCCCCUUUCUGCCAGCAGUUCUGGUUCUUAAGAAAAUCACCAUAAAUCAGACAUGAAAAUUCUGGCUCCAAAAAUAGCAUUUUCUUUGUGCAAAUAAAAACGUGUGUAUCAAGUA
rnacentral:lncRNA from 1 species